ACAUCACUCAGUCUCAACAGCAGGUGGGAACCAUGGCUUACCUCUGCAGGAUUAUUCUACUGUUAUUGACCAUUAUUGUUACUAGAGCAGGUGUUGGCGCUUUUGAUUUCCAGUACAAGUCUAUCGGACCCGGUCCUUGUGUACAUGUCACUCUUGACGCCAUUUUGACCCUCAAGUUAAAAAAUGAAUCGAACACACAGACCUUGUCCUUGACCGGGGCCAAGGUUACUUCCGGGACGUGUAAGGCGGACAAAACGGAGCUGACCGUGUCUACUGCACAGUCGCACAGAGUCCAUUUCCUGUUUACCAAAUCAGCUGAUGGCGCCGUGUCUAUUUCUUACAAAGUUGAUUACAAGAGGGAAGGUACAACUGACCUGGUCAUGGACAGUGAGUCGGCGCCCCUGACGGACACUAGCCAGACCUACACUUGCGCCUCUGUGGACGCUGUCCUUCUCCACGACGACUCCGGCCACAAUUUCGGAACCUUCUUCGUCUCUAACGUGACCUACCAGGUGUUCGGUUCCCUUAAUGGCACCUUUCCAGAAAAAGUUAAAACGUGUUCGAUUGACAGCGCAAACUCCACGCUACAUCCGGGGAACCGUUCUGAGGGCGAAGACCUGACGGACGGAAGUACAGAGUUCGUUCUAAAGAACGGGUCCGGUGCUGUCUGUGUCCGGAUACAUGGGGAGCUGGAGUUACAGUAUCAGUACCAGCUGAGCGACGGAAACCUGACCACCGUGAAACUAGCUGUUCCAAAAACGGCCCUCGUCAGCGGUUUCUGUGAUGAGGAGAGGUCUUACCUUGUAUUACGUUAUAAAGAAGGGGAGGCAAACAGAGCCGUCGUCUUCUAUCUACGUCACAAAGGAUCUCAAACAUUAUUGGAGAACAUCGAAACCAUCAUCAAAUUAGACUCAGCUAAAUUCCCAGGCUCCAAACUUGCAAAUGGUUAAAAUUUGAAUUUUUUAUUGUCAGUUUGAAGACGGGCCGUGGAUAUAUUUUGGAGAUUAUCGUAUUUUUCUUUCAAUAGAAAUAGUAUACAUACAUGUACCCGUAGUCUAAAUACUUGCAUUAGAUGCUAUGAUGCUUUUUUCAGUUUUAGUUCGGUCUUACGGACGAAUUGACGACCAACUCGAAACAGAGGGUAGUUUCUAUGGGUGCCAGCACGAGAGGCAGUUUUUAGGGGCCGACUUUGCUCUGGUGACACGACAUCUACGGUUCCAGUCAUCUGGCGCCAGUUUGGCCGAAGGUUUCUCUACUACAAGUAAGGUUAAAGAAGAACUGGUUGUCCUGAGGAUGUAGUCAAAAUGACAGAGACGGAAACGUUCUCCUCCAAGCAGGGUAACCAGACAUGCCUUCUCCUGUCUGCUGCCCUCAGAUUCUCCAUUCCUUAUACCUCCCGCCAAAACAAGACCGAGAAUCAACUGGUGAAUGUCCCAGUUUCUCCAGAUGUCAAGGUCUCCGGUCACUGUAACUCCACAGUACUGCAGGACCUGACGUUGUAUUUCUACAAUAGCUGGAAACUCAGGUUUGUAUUCGUGUCCACGUCCAGUACAGGGGGUUCCCCUGGCUCCUCCAUCCUCGGAUACACCCUGGAUAACGUCACUCUGACGUACGAAGAGAACCCGCUGAUUUUCUAUAAUUCAUACACAACGACAACAGGCCCGGUUAGGACGGUUUCCAGCAAGUCAUUUGAAACCCCCCUUAAAGCAACAGCUAAUGGACACUAUCACUGCGACAGCACCAUGGAGAUAACCUUCACAGACGGGGUCAAGCUAGAGGUCAAGGACUUACGCUUCCAAGCCUUCAGGAGGAGCGAGUCCGGAGACUUUUCUGGGGACGUGUCUACGUGUGACGCCCUCUCCCAGAAGCAACGUCACUACACUGUGUACGUCAUAGUGGCCCUGGGGGUCGUCGCUAUCAUCGCCAUCAUUGUAGUGGUCGGGGUCAUGGCCAUGAAGAAAAGGAAACGUAACUCUUACCAACACAUGGAGUAAUAAAUUUACCGAAAUGAGAUUUUCUGGGGUUUUUUGUUUUCCCAUAGUUUUUGACGACUUGAGACUAUUUUCAGAUUAAAGAAAUUUUAAAGCAAAGUUAUAUUCAAUCUUUAAAAUGUAAUGUAUUGUAAUAUUGCAGGUGUAUAUUUCAUGUAUCUACCUGAAAAUGUAUGAAUAACGUGUAAUGAU
rnacentral:misc_RNA from 1 species